UCUUCGCUAGUAUAUCGGUUAGUAUAAUCGCCUCUCAAGAGAGAGACUCUCUGCCUCUUCCAGUUCUCAGGACCGUAGAAAGCACGCGAUAGAGCAGGGUUCGACUCCCUGGCGGAGAA